rfam:Callipepla squamata strain Texas jcf7180005231474, whole genome shotgun sequence.
AAAUAGGCUCUUCUAAAGAGCCACUUAUCAUAUCUGUAGCGAUUUGU